rnacentral:rRNA from 1 species
UAAUGCGGGGGGAACAAGCGUUGUUCGGAUUUACUGGGCGUAAAGGGUGCGUAGGCGGGCUGAUUAGUCGGGUGUGAAAACUUACGACUUAACCGUGAGCUUGCAUUCGAAACUGUCGGUCUUGAGUACGGGAGGGGGAAGUGGAAUUCCUGGUGUAGCGGUGAAAUGCGUAGAUAUCAGGAGGAACACCGGUGGCGAAGGCGGCUUCCUGGACCGAUACUGACGCUGAUGCACGAAGGCCGGGGGAGCAAACAGGAUUAGAUACCCUGGUAGUCCCGGCAGUAAACGAUGGGCACUAGGUGUCGGGGGAAUCGACCCCUUCGGUGCCGCAGCUAACGCAUUAAGUGCCCCGCCUGGGGAGUACGACCGCAAGGUUG